rnacentral:rRNA from 1 species
GACGAACGCUGGCGGCGUGCCUAAUACAUGCAAGUAGAACGAGUUGCGAACGGGUGAGUAACGCGUGGUAACCUGCCUCAUAGCGGGGGAUAACUAUUGGAAACGAUAGCUAAUACCGCAUACUGUGAGAUGGACCUGCGUUGUAUUAGCUAGUUGGUGAGGUAAAGGCUCACCAAGGCGACGAUCCCUAGCUGGUCUGAGAGGUUGACCAGCCACAAGGGAACUGAGACACGGUCCAGACUCCUACGGGAGGCAGAGGUGGGGAAUAUUGCAAAAUGGGCGAAAGCCUGAUGAAGCAAUGCGGCGUGUAUGAAGAAGGCCUUCGGGUUGUAAAGUACUUUCAGAGAGGAGGCGUUACUCGAAGAAGAAGCACCGGCUAACUCCGUGCCAGCAGCCGCGGUAAUUC